GAAAGCCGCACACCGUGCCAUGCAAGGUUACCGGCAAGUGUGGAUCCGUGACAGUGAGAAUGGUGCCGGCUCCACGUGGUGCUGGGAUUGUCGCUGCACGAGUCCCCAAAAAGGUUCUGCAGUUUGCUGGGAUAGAGGACGUUUUCACCUCCUCCAGGGGCUCCACCAAGACACUUGGAAAUUUCGUGAAGGUCUGUUAAUUUCAUUUUGCCUUUUCAAAUACUGGGAUUAGUUAUUUAUAUACAUUACAUGAGAUUGAUACCUUUAGAAGAGAGAAUCAGCUAUGUUGAUCUGUCGGUGAUUUUUAUUCGAUUUUUUUUUUAUGUUGUUCACUUGGUUUAGCAUUAUAAAUUGCCUAGUUGAUUCAUCCCUUAUUGAAAUGAGAGUAGCUGAAUUUGUUAUUACUUUUUUCAUUCUAACAUAGUACUGAUUUUUUUUUCUGGAGUUAGUAAGGAGGUUUAAAUUCAUUUCUAAUUUGACGUAGUUACGUUGUUUGUUCUGUUCUUAUUUAAGCUUAUAUUUAUAAUUUUGUAUUGUUUAAUUGUUGAAAAUUGCUGAAAGUUCUGAAAUUAAUAGUUCUUGUUUUUUGGUUAGAAAGAAAUGAACUUUGAGUUUUUAUUUUCAUCAGUAUAAAUUAUGUUAUAGUAAUUUAUUCGUUCGCUAAUGAUUUAUUUUGCUUGCUUGUUUUGUAGUGCUCACUUGAAUUAUACAUGAUCCUGCAAUGCUUUUCAUUAUUAUUAUUAUUAUUAAUUUAUUGAAGGUGCAAAUUCUUGUAGUUUUACCUUAACCCAGUAAAUUUUACUACCCAUAUGGAUUUGCCAAGUCUUCUUUUUGCCGGAUAAUCCUGAAUGUCCCUUGCUCUGGAUAACUGUGCUGUUAAUUGUUGGUUGUAAUCCUUUUUAUGGAGGUAAAACGAUAUUUUCUGUCUUGCUGAUGUUAAGGAAAAAAAAACAAAGUGUGUUCUUUUUGGUGUUUGUGAUGGAAUAGGUAUUUUUCUUCACAAUGAUAAAUGAUGCAAUGGUUCUUCCUUUGAAUAAUUACAUUGCUUAUGUGCUUGUUAUUUGUUGGUUUCAUUCAUCUAAGUGCCAUGUCAAAUGCAGGCCACCUUUGAUUGUCUCCUGAAAACCUAUGGAUUCUUGACUCCUGACUUUUGGAGGGAGACCCGCUUCACCAGGUCUCCUUUCCAGGAGUACACUGAUUUACUGGGGAAACCAACUAAAGUCCUAAUUGAAGAUGCAGAGAAAAUUGAAGCUUAAUGCAGAAAAGCCAGUCUUGAGUUGUUGAUGAUGAGAAUAUAUGGCCAAGAAUUUCAUGUUAAUCUCGCUUAGUAGGUUCUCAAAAACUAUAAGAAAUGUUAAUUUUGUUUGUGGUUAUGUUGGAGAUUUUUGGAUUUAGUAAUAUCUUUUGCUGUUUUGAUCACUUGUCAAAUGGAUUGGAUUGUUUUGUUUUCAACUGCUGUAUAUCUGAUACUGAGGGCAUCCCUCGUAAGUAUUCUUUCAGGGUAGCGGUAAUGUUCAAUGAAAUAUGUAAGGACUCUAGAAGGAUGGGCUUUUUUAGGAGUAGAGGGACAACUCUUCUUUAUGCUAUGGUUUUUACAAUGGUAAAUUACAGAACAAGUAGUAAUUACUCUAUAACGCUACAUGUAUAAAUAUAAAAGUAUUAAAAUUUUAAACUCCGUUGAUACAAUGGGCAAAUAAAAUUUCAACAAAGUAUAGAAGAAGUUAUUGAUGAUGGGGAUAAUGCCAAAAUCUCAAAUUUUGUCAACUUUUUACAAUUCUACAUUUUAUGUUUUUUUUAAAACAAAAGUACUCUAAAUUAAUAAUUUAUUUGCAAUUUUACUUAAAUACUAGCAAAAUAGUGUUAUGUUAGCAUUUUAAUCUCUGUUAAAUGGGGUAUAAUUGUAAAUAAAUCAAUAAAAUCAUUGUAUUUUUAUUAAAAAAAUGAUUAAAGAUAGAAUUAUAAAAUAUAGAAAAGUUUGAUAUUAUUUUUUGGACAUUUUUCCAUGAUAAUAUUAUAUACAGCGAAAGAAAAAACUACCUGUCUUGAUUUGGUUGAAAAUCCAUUUUAUUUUUAUUACUUUUCUGUUUAUUUUUUUUCAAAAUUAUUUAAAAUAUAGGAUUAUUUUUAUUUGGAUCCGGUGCUCUAAGUCUUUUUAUAUAAAAAAAAUUCAAAAAANNNNNNNNNNNNNNNNNNNAAAAAAAAAAAAAAAAAAAAAAAAAAACAUAAUCAACCCGAGUGUAGAUAUUUUUUUCCCUGGUAUUUUGUUGACUUGCUUAUCAAGGAGGACAAAUUGACCAUUACUUUUCAUCCAUUUGUAACUGUAGAUGUAAUGGGUUAACAGUUAUAAGUAUAGCAAUAAAUAUUGUUAAUUAUGUUUGAUAUUACCCUUAAUAUGCAUAUGCAUAUGAAUUUAUUUUAUGAUGUUGAUUUUGUAGAUUAAUAAAUAUUUUUGUUUAUAUAUUUGUUAAAAUAAAAAUGUUUAUGUCUAAAAAAAAAUAGAUAUAAUAGUCACAACUUGCUUACAAGAGUAAUACAUAUUCAAAAAAAUUCAUACUACAGGCCAUUAUUUCCUUCUUUUUUUCCUAUCAUUAUUUAUUUUCUCUUAGGUAAAUUCAUGUCAUGGGCCAUUACGACUUUCUGCUUAAGCCUAAUUUUAAUGCAAGUGAGGAGAAGAAGUAACUGACAUUACAUGGAUAACUCUCCAAACAAACAUAGCCUAAGAGAAGCCUGUUUUUGUAAUUUUUUAGGUAACGGGUCCAAAAAUAGCUACCCGUAACCCAAUAAAUUGGAUCCAACGUAAGCCCAAUUACGUAUCCUUUCCCAACAUUACACUAUGCAAAAACCCUACAAUAUAUAAAACCCUAUACCGCAGUUUAGCUUUCCUUCCACUCCCCAUCUCCGUCUCUCCCGAGCCCUAUCCCUCUUACCUUUAACCCUAACACUCACUACAAUAAUGGCCGACAGAGGCGCAGGAGAAAGAGGAGCUUUCCGCCGCGGCUUUGGCGGUGCCUCUCGUGGUGAUCGCGGAGGCAGAGGCCGCCGUCGUGCGCGCCGUGAGGAGGAGGAGAAGUGGGUUCCAGUCACUAAACUUGGCCGCUUGGUGAAGGAUGGCAAGAUCAGAAGUCUAGAGCAAAUUUACCUUCAUUCUCUCCCUAUCAAAGAGCAUCAGAUCAUCGAUACUCUCGUCGGUCCUUCCCUCAAGGAUGAGGUCAUGAAAAUCACUCCUGUGCAGAAACAAACUCGUGCCGGUCAGCGAACUCGGUUCAAGGCCUUUGUCGUCGUGGGGGACGGAAAUGGCCACGUUGGAUUGGGAGUGAAGUGCUCAAAGGAGGUUGCUACUGCCAUCCGUGGUGCCAUCAUAUUGGCCAAAUUAUCUGUAAUCCCUGUUAGGAGGGGUUAUUGGGGUAACAAGAUCGGAAAGCCACACACCGUGCCCUGCAAGGUCACCGGCAAGUGUGGAUCCGUGACUGUGAGAAUGGUGCCUGCACCACGUGGUGCUGGGAUUGUCGCAGCACGGGUUCCCAAGAAGGUUCUGCAGUUUGCUGGAAUAGAGGACGUUUUCACUUCUUCCAGGGGCUCCACCAAGACACUAGGAAAUUUCGUUAAGGUCUGUUUAUAUUCAUUUUUUGUUUUCGUUUUCGUUUUCAUAUACUGUGAACUAAUUGUUUAUAUUGAUUAUGUGGAGACGUGACCUACAGAAGAGCAAUUCUCCAUUUUAAUAAUUUAUUUUGUUUACUCAAUUUUUCUGAUAUUGUUGACAUUCUAAAUUUUCUAAUUGAGUCAUAGAUUAUUGAAAUGAGAUUAGCUUAAUUAGUUAUUACUUUCUUUAUAUCGCUACAAGUACCAGUUUUUUCUCCUGGAUUUAGGAAGGUGUUGUACUUUGUCCUGUUCUUCUACAGGCUUAUGUUAAUAUUUUUAUAUCCAUAAUUUCUAACUAUUCUGAAAUUAAUAGUGCUUGUUCGAAACGACGGAAUUUUGAAAAUUUUCAUUAUUUCUAAAGUAAAUUAGGGUCUAUUAAGUACUUUGUGAUUAAUUUGAAUGUUCUUUGUUAACUUUACCUUUUUGGUUAGAAAGCCCCGCGUUCAACCUGAUUUUGUAUGGCCUUUUUCAAAUUUGUUUUAUUUAUGGUGCAAUUUUUUUCCCCUUUUGCUAUAACCCAGUGUAUGCUAGUACCUAUGUGAGUUUGUUAAGUAGGAUUUGUACUCUUAUAGAGACAAUUGUGUUCCUUGCUGGAUAUCUGCAUUGUAAAUAACUGCACGCACACCUUUUUGUGGAAGCACUAAAAUAAUAUUCUUGUCUUGCUGAUGUAAAAAAUGCUCUUUUUUUUUGUGUGUGAUGUAUUAGGUAUUGUUUUCAUAGUGAUAAAUGAUGUGAUGCUUCUUCUUUUUUUUGGUUAAUUACAUCGGUUAUGCUGUUGUUACUUGUUGGUUUAAUUCAUCUAAAUGCUCUGUCAAAUGCAGGCCACUUUUGAUUGUCUCCUGAAAACCUAUGGAUUCUUGACUCCUGACUUUUGGAGGGAGACCCGCUUCACCAGGUCUCCUUUCCAGGAGUACACUGAUCUAUUGGGGAAACCAACUAAAGUCCUAAUUGAAGAUGCAGAGAAAAUCGAAG
rnacentral:lncRNA from 1 species